ACACAAAAUAAUGUUCUUUUUAGCAACGUCAUAUGAUCCCUUUAAAGCAUUGAUCCUCUCUCUUCUGUAACUGAGCUUUGAUGCAGCCAAAGCUAAUCUACUUUCUGCACUGACCGUUUGUUUAGUGAGAUGAGAAUCCUUUGUGCCCUAUCUUACUAAAUCAGUCCCUUAAACUUUAGGUUACACUGCACUGUGAGCUUUUUUGACCUAUAAAACUUUCUUAAAUCAAGCUUCAAUUUUAUAUGGUAAAUUUGAAUGACUUCUGUUGACUACAAGAUCCACCCUGGAGAUGUUUGUUAUUCAGAUUCUGUCAUACAACUUCCAACAUUACAGUCCUGCUGUGCCAUGAUUGACCUAUGAACUUUCACCUUUGUUUUACACCUGAACUAGCUGAACAUGCUGUUUGCUGUGUUGACUCCGCAUUUGAUCUUGGCAGGUUGACUCAAGAUUGAGUAGAAAAAGCAGGAGAAUGGAUAGAGUGAAAGAGACAGAGCUCACAACAAAAACAAGUGUGUGCUGUCCGCUCUGUCCGAUCACACACAGUCAAGACAUGUGUGUGCUUAAACUCACGCGCCUGGUCCAUGUCCUAAGUUGAAAAACAUACUGACUCAAGUGUCAGGAACAAAAACAAGUUGGCCAUCCUCACAUACCUAGAGAGGGAGAGAAUGAAAGAAAAAAAAA